GACGAACGCUGGCGGCGCGCCUAACACAUGCAAGUCGAACGAGCGAGAGAGAGCUUGCUUUCUUGAGCGAGUGGCGAACGGGUGAGUAACGCGUGAGGAACCUGCCUCAAAGAGGGGGACAACAGUUGGAAACGACUGCUAAUACCGCAUAAGCCCACGGUGCCGCAUGGCACAGAGGGAAAAGGAGCCAUCCGCUUUGAGAUGGCCUCGCGUCCGAUUAGCUAGUUGGUGAGGUAACGGCCCACCAAGGCGACGAUCGGUAGCCGGACUGAGAGGUUGAACGGCCACAUUGGGACUGAGACACGGCCCAGACUCCUACGGGAGGCAGCAGUGGGGAAUAUUGCACAAUGGGGGAAACCCUGAUGCAGCGACGCCGCGUGGAGGAAGAAGGUCUUCGGAUUGUAAACUCCUGUUGUUGGGGAAGAUAAUGACGGUACCCAACAAGGAAGUGACGGCUAACUACGUG
rnacentral:rRNA from 1 species